GCCGCCGUGGCUUAGCAGGAAAAGCGGCUGAUUCGUAAUCAGCAGAUCGUGGGUUCAAAUCCCACCGGCGGCU
rnacentral:tRNA from 1 species